CCUUUGCAAUCUUAAGAAUGGGGAGGCACACUAGAAUUAAAAACCAUAUCUAGCUUUCCAAAUAUACCAGCAGAUAAGACUAGCGAAUCGAAGUUCCCUCUUAUCUAGAUUAGACACCCUUUGUUGCAAGGCACUCCACCAAUUUGAAAAGAGGAAAUUCCCUUAACAGUAAGACAGAAACCCAAAGGAGAACCAAACAAGGUAGCCCAAGAAUGCUCACAAAAAAAGAACAGAUGUUCUAUAGAUUCUUCUUGCUCGUUACAUACAGGGCAUAUAAUUGACAGAGAGCAAUGCCUCUUGAAGAGAUUUACUUUCGUAGCCAAGGCAUCAAUACAGACGCACCAAAUAAAAUUGCAUAUUUUUGGGGUCCACGGUAAGAUUCCAGAACUUCAUCCAAGAAAAAAUCCCCAUACCAUUGGAAGAUGAAGAAGCAAUAUGACUAUCAGUUGUUCAUUGCUUAGACUUCAAAAUAUGAUAAAUUGAUUUCACUGUUGGUUCUUCAGUUCUCGUAUAAUGCCACACUCUUCGCUCUUCAGUCAAGACUCUGGAUAAUGGAAUCUUCAUUAUCUCCCGACA
rnacentral:misc_RNA from 1 species